UUUCCGUAGGUGAACCUGCGGAAGGAUCAUUACUGAGGGGCUCCGGCCCCGUCAAGAUACCACCCCUUGCAUUUUGAGUACCUCUUGUUCCCUCGGCGGGCUCGCGCCCGUCGCUGGGCCCAACCAAACCCCUUGCAGUAGCAGUAUACCUCUGAUCGUGGGCACUUGAAUCUUAACAACUUUCAACAACGGAUCUCUUGGUUCUGGCAUCGAUGAAGAACGCAGC
rnacentral:misc_RNA from 1 species